rnacentral:rRNA from 1 species
UUAAGCAUAUCAAUAAGCGGAGGAAAAGAAACCAACAGGGAUUGCCUCAGUAACGGCGAGUGAAGCGGCAAAAGCUCAAAUUUGAAAUCUAGCACCUUCGGUGUUCGAGUUGUAAUUUGAAGAUGGUAACCUUGGGUUUGGCUCUUGUCUAUGUUCCUUGGAACAGGACGUCAUAGAGGGUGAGAAUCCCGUCUGAUGAGAUGCCCAUUCCUAUGUAAGGUGCUAUCGAAGAGUCGAGUUGUUUGGGAAUGCAGCUCUAAGUGGGUGGUAAAUUCCAUCUAAAGCUAAAUAUUGGCGAGAGACCGAUAGCGAACAAGUACAGUGAUGGAAAGAUGAAAAGAACUUUGAAAAGAGAGUGAAAAAGUACGUGAAAUUGUUGAAAGGGAAGGGCAUUAGAUCAGACUUGGUGUUUUACGAUUAUCUUCUCUUCUUGAGUUGUGCACUCGUAUUUCACUGGGCCAGCAUCGAUUCGGAUGGCAAGAUAAUGGCAGUUGAAUGUGGCUUCACUUCGGUGGAGUGUUAUAGCUUCUGCUGAUAUUGCCUGUCUGGAUCGAGGGCUGCGUCUUUUGACUAGGAUGCUGGCGUAAUGAUCUAAUGCCGCCCGU